AUGUUUGUCGCCUUGUUUGAGCACAUCUCAGAACAAUCAUUUCUUCAUAUCAGAAGCACACUCUCAAGACAUCGGGACGCCAAGGGCCAAACUGUGCAGUCAACACAGCUGAACAUCAUGUAUGAACUGAACGACAUCUAUGCCAAUGUGGAGGACCUGUCGGGCAAACGAAGGAGUAUAUCCAAAAGCUCUGAAAGUGUUUAUGAAAAUGUGAUGAUCAACACUCUGAAGCCAAGCAGAAGUGGACCCUCGCCCUCAGGUGUUGGAGAUGUGAAGAAGAGUUCCUUUAGAGCCGUGGCAGUGCUUCUGGGUCUCCUGAGUUUCUUCCUUCUGACAGGACUCAUAACUUCGGUUUGCCUGUUCACCAAAGGCAUCUCACAGAGGGAAAUGGAGAUAAUCCUGUUACAGACCAGUUGCACCAACCUGACUAAAGAAAGAGACAACCUCUCGAAAGGAGUUCAACACUUGGGCAAUGAACUAAAUAUUUGUCUCACAAAGAUACAAACAAAUGCGUUAUCCAACCAAAGACGGCCGUAUAAUGGCGGAUUUCAUGGACAGAUGGGACGCCAUCCAAAUGGGUGGAUGGGACGCCGCUGACCAAAAGGUCGGAGCAGAGUUGAAGAGGUAACAUACUCUAUGGUGUUCUAAAGGAAUAUUGUUUGACCUACUGUGACUAAGACAACACAUUAAUUAAGUUUUCCCAACAGAUGUUGAUAACUACUUUUUUCAAUCUUGAUCAAACACCUUUUCUAAGGAAACACACAUUUUGAGUUGAUAUUGAGUUGCUGUCCCGUUUCUCGGUGUGCCUUCUUUUAAAUAAAAAGUGUACUUUGUUUUGGGGUUUCAGUUUUUUAAACCCUUUGGAGCCAAAUGGACAUCGGUUAAGAGAUGAAGAUGUAGAAAAGAACAGCUGUUAUUUGGAAAACAGCUAGAAUGAUGACCAGUGUGACCACAAAACACUUUGGAGAAGAAAUGUCCUUCAUAACUCCAAACCAAGCAUUCAAACUAACUAAACAAUGAGUUAGAAACAAGGAAAUACUCAAUACUUGGUUCUCUAGUUUAAGCUGAAGUUGACAAGGCAGUUUAACAUAAUGCUAAGCAAGCUACUCUCCAGGUAAAGUGUCCAAUUAAGUGUAAAUGCUCUGAAUUUGAAUAUAAAUAUCUAGUUCUGUGCUUCCUUUUAAACACUGAAUAUGAUGAGUAUUAUUAUUGACAACUCACCUAAAUCCAACCCUAAAUAAGAUGUAAUGAUAUUUCAACAGAUCAUUAUUGCAUCCUGCUUUAAUUGUAUUUUCUAUUGGAAGUAUAAAAGCAUGUGGAACUUCUUCUGCUAAAGAAAGACAUAUUUUAAAUCACUGCUUAAUAAAUAUGUCCAUCCAUCCAUCCAUUGUCAAACCGCUUAUCCUGCACACAGGGUCGCGGGGGGGCUGGAGUCCAUCCCAGCCAACUUCGGGCAAUAGACAGGGUACAUCCUGGAUUGGUCGCCAGCCAAUCGCAGGGCAACACAGAGACACACAACCAUUCACACUCACAUUCACACAUCUACGGGCAAUUUAGAGUCCCCAAUUAACCUGAUCCCCAGAGCAUGUCUUUGGACUGUGGGAGGAAGCCGGAGAACCCGGAGAGAACCCACACAGACACGGGGAGAACAUGCAGACUCCACACAGUAAGGCCACUGGGCGGAAUCGAACCCUGGACCUUCUUGCUGUGAGGCAACAGUGCUAACCACCAUGCCACCGUGCCGCCCUCUUAAUAAAUAUGUGGUCAAUUUUAUGUUUCCUGCCCUAUUUUAACUUCUACUUCUUCUACAUACAAGUAUUGACAAGUAUUUUUGGGUUGAAUAUAGUUUUGACCCAGUUCUAUAAUUUUUUGGAAUAAACAUUUGCUUUCAUUCUUCACUUAAAUAUAUUUUUACAUAUUCACUUUGUUAUAUGUUUAGGAUUUCAGAUAUAUUUUUAGAGUAUUUCCCUCCAGCUCAUACCUUUACAAACAGACAUGUAUAACAGACAUACUGAAGGUUUUGCAUAUAUACUGUGCUCAGUGGACAAAUAUAUAAAUGCCAUAACUGCCAUUUAACAAGGUUGUACAAUGUGCUUAAUUACUUGUUUGAUUUUUCCCCCCCCACUGGGUUUCUGCCCAAGACUUGGUCGCUCAUCGUCAUAUUCUACUGCCUCCUCCUGGUUUCCUUUGUAUUUGAUGUGUCUUCCCUCUUUUGUUCCCUAUUUGUCAAGAGUGAGCUGAUAUUCUCCCCUAUUCAAUCAAUUCAGAGGAUGUCAAAUAGGGGAAUAAAUAGUUAUGCUGAAAGACAAUAUCCGACUCUCACUUAAAACUUUUUCACUUUACUGACUUACUAAUUUUAUGAAAUAAAAUAAACUGUUGGUACAUGCCAUAACCUCAUCUUCCCUUUACCUUUGUACGUAUGUGGUAUAACUCCUCAAACUAUCUCAACGGUCCUUGAUCUGCACCAACUCAAAGGGCAAAAGUGAAAAUGUCCUUGAAACGACCAAAAGAUUUAUUAGGAAUGGAAACACUCUUUUUUGUUACUGAUUUCCAGGUUUUGUUUGUUUGACAAAAGAGUUGUUGGAUAUUAUAUACAUCUCAAUUAUAUAAAGGGAAAAUGCUUCAUCAAAUCACUCUGAACUGACUCUAGAAAACUGAAGGUGCAUUUUACUUAUAAAAGAGAAGUGUAAACGUGCGUGCAGGAAAUGGUGUAUUUCCUGGUUACGGGUUGUUCCUACAUCUGACCGCAGCUGAGAACAUUUACCCGAGAAAGCCACAGAAUAUCAAGUCAGAUGAAAAUGUUAAAACAGUUGUUGCCACUUUAUGUUCCUGCACCCAGAGUGAAUGUACUACUUAUUAUUAAAUUGAUCAAUAACUGAGACUGAUGGAGAUAAAGAUCCCGACUUCACAAAAGAGUUUCAGCUUUAUUGAUAUUUCUUAAGAGAUAUUUCGCUUGCAGCACACUUCUGCUUUGUAUGAAGAAACCGAUUUGGUUCCAUGACGAGAAGCGAUGUUGAAAGUUUGGAUUUGUCACCUCGAGCUCUACUCGUGAUGACAUUUGGUAUUUCAACAUUGCACAUAUCAUUGUAAUUCUGCAUCUAAAUGCCUCACAGUGGCCCGAAGGUCACAGAGGAGGACAUGAAUUAUUAGAGCACACCUGACUGUCUUUCCAUCUGGUUUCCAGAUCUUACAUUGGAAGAUGACUUCCAUUCAAUGACAAACAUAAUGUUUUAUCAGACAUUGUAAUUGCAGAUACAUCCUUCAUUUUGCUUGUAUGAUCUGUUGAGGAACAGAUUGAAAGGUUUAGGCUUCAAAUUCUGCCAGAUGUAGUUUUUAUUUAUUUACAUGCAAUUAUUAACAAACUGAACUGACUGCUCAUAAAGUAUCAGCGAGUAUUGCAGUAAUGUCUGCUUACUGAAAAAACAAAAAGAUGCAUAGUCUGGAUAAACACACAAAUCGGUGUCUCCAAAAAAUCACUCAUUAAGUUCUUAGGCAAAACUUUCAUAACCAGAUUCUGGUUUUAGCAGCAGUCAAAAAAAGAGAAGCUGUUGAAGUGGAGGGAAAAUAAGGAGAACCAGACCAAAGAAGAAGUAGAUUACACAACACGUCUUAGUUUAAAACCUCCAGCACCUCUCCAGUCAGCUUGUAACAAUGGCCAGGUUUGUGCGUAAAGAGGAAUCUGGGAUUACCAGAGACUAUGUGAAUCUACCUGAGCCAAAGAACGAUGCCCAACAGCCCGAACGAGGCACUGCUGCAGAUGAGACAG
ensembl:lncRNA